rnacentral:rRNA from 1 species
GACGAACGCUGGCGGCGUGCUUAACACAUGCAAGUCGAACGGAAAGGCCUCUUUCGGGGGGUACUCGAGUGGCGAACGGGUGAGUAACACGUGAGUAACCUGCCCUUGACUUUGGGAUAACUUCAGGAAACUGGGGCUAAUACCGGAUAGGAGCUCCUGCUGCAUGGUGGGGGUUGGAAGGUUUCGGCGGUUGGGGAUGGACUCGCGGCUUAUCAGCUUGUUGGUGGGGUAGUGGCUUACCAAGGCUUUGACGGGUAGCCGGCCUGAGAGGGUGACCGGCCACAUUGGGACUGAGAUACGGCCCAGACUCCUACGGGGGGCAGCAGUGGGGAAUAUUGCACAAUGGGUGGAAGCCUGAUGCAGCAACGCCGUGUGCGGGAUGACGGCCUUCGGGUUGUAAACCGCUUUCGCUCAUGACGAAGCUUUGUGUGACGGUAGUGGGUAAAGAAGCACCGGCUAACUACGUG